UACGUAGGGAGCAAGCGUUGUCCGGAAUCAUUGGGCGUAAAGCGCGCGUAGGUGGCCUCAUAAGUCCGUUGUGAAAGUCAAAGGCUCAACCUUUGAAAGCCGAUGGAUACUGUGAGACUAGAGUACGGAAGAGGCGAGUGGAAUUCCUGGUGUAGCGGUGGAAUGCGCAGAUAUCAGGAGGAACACCAAUAGCGAAGGCAGCUCGCUGGGACGUUACUGACACUGAGGCGCGAAAGCGUGGGGGAGCGAACAGG
rnacentral:rRNA from 1 species